rnacentral:rRNA from 1 species
GGCUUCGGCCCGUGAGUAAAGUGGCAGACGGGUGAGUAACACGUGGGUAACCUGCCCGGAGGUGGGGGAUAACGCUCCGAAAGGAACGCUAAUACCGCAUGAUAUCUCGAGCACUUCGGCGCUCGAGAUCAAAGCUUGCCUCUUCAUGAAAGCAAGUGCCACCGGAGGGACCCGCGCCCCAUUAGCUUGAUGGUGAGGUAGUGGCUCACCAUGGCGACGAUGGGUAGCCGGCCUGAGAGGGUGAUCGGCCACACUGGAACUGAGACACGGUCCAGACUCCUACGGGAGGCAGCAGUGAGGAAUCUUGCGCAAUGGGCGAAAGCCUGACGCAGCGACGCCGCGUGGAGGAGGAAGGUCUUCGGAUCGUAAACUCCUGUCAAGAGGGACGAAUUCGGGGAGGAUGAAUAAGCCUUCUCGUUGACGGUACCUCUGGAGGAAGCCCCGGCUAACUCCGUGCCAGCAGCCGCGGUAAUACGGAGGGGGCCAGCGUUGUUCGGAAUUAUUGGGCGUAAAGGGCGCGUAGGCGGCCCGGCAAGUCAGCUGUGAAAGCCCUCGGCUCAACCGAGGAAUUGCGGCUGAAACUGCCGGGCUCGAGUCCCGGAGAGGGUAGCGGAAUUCCCAGUGUAGCGGUGAAAUGCGUAGAUAUUGGGAGGAACACCUGUGGCGAAGGCGGCUACCUGGACGGGUACUGACGCUGAGGCGCGAAAGCGUGGGGAGCAAACAGGAUUAGAUACCCUGGUAGUCCACGCUGUAAACGAUG